GGAGACAAUAUGGCAGGGUCCCUCGUUUCAGUGCCCCAACCACAGUGAUUGCCUCCCAGUGCCUCCCAUCUGCUCUAGAGAGAGCAUGUCUAGCUAACAAAGAACACGGUGCAUCAGCAUCCUCUGAAGAAUUGGAUAUGCUGGCUCCAGCUCCAGCAGCAGGCCUGUGACCACAUGAGGAAAAGCGUCCUCUAAGAAGGACACAUUAGAAUCGGAAUGUGCAGGACCCUCUGUUCCUGACUGUCCUAUGGCAACACCAUCUUACUCUUGGACCUCACAUUGAUAGAGUCUCCUGAGAUGAGAAAAGUAAACUCUCUUAACAAGA